UUGUCUUUGUUAUAUAUCUUUCUUUCCUCUUUUCCCACUCUGCGGUUUUGGGGGGCUGCGGGGGAGUACUCCGGACGCAGUCGGGACACCGCGAGAACCGAUGGCGCCCAAUUCUCGCGAUGUGCAGCUGCCUGCGAUCACCGUGAUCUCGUCUGCACCGCGCAAACUCCCGUCACUUUCUGAGGACAACAGGAAAGCCUUUAACACCGUCCAACGUUGUUAGGAAGAAUGACAAGAUUUUAGAAUAAAGGCCAUGUGAGGACUCAAGAGAGAGGAUGGUCAUUUACAAGUCAGGAAGAGAGCUUUCACCAGAAACCAAUCCUGACCACUUGAUUCCAGACUGCUAGGCUCCAGAAAGAGUGAAAAGACAGUCUCCUCUCUGGACCUCUGUCACAGGUCAUUUAAGUGUUAGAAGACGUAUGGACACCAGUCCCCAUGUCCCUCAUCUUGUCUAUUGUCAUACUUCCUGUUUUCCCAUGUGGAGCUUAAUGCUUAGAGUCACCCUGAAGGGUGUGGAGGGGGCAGACAGCAGUAUCCAGGAAGCCCGAUAUGGGAGACUGUAAAUGUUCAUUGGAUACACUUAGGUCUCUGUCCUGGAUACCGUCUGGGAACCUCCUGGGAUUUGGGCUUUAAUAUGGACAUUUUCCCACUACCAUUCAUCCUGGGAAUGCUGUUUUCCCCAAGUUUCUCAGGAUAAAAAGACUCAGAUUCAGAGCUGAACUGCUGGCAGCUGAAUUUCAUUAAGACUUUGAUGGGAAACUUAAGUUGGAAUUACAAACAUCUGUGGUUAAACUUCCCCUUUAGUAAACCAUUUCCCAGAAUUUAACUUUACCACACUAGCAGCAAAAAGAAAAACAGCUGAAAAAAGAAUGCUGCUCUUUGGCAAAUGCUGGAAUAGAUACUUAAAUAUUCUUCUAUGUGAUGACUAUAUCUUCGUCAAGUAGCAGCUUAGUUGCUUUAGAAAACACAUUAAGUAAUUGUUUGGAAAUGCUAAGCUUUGGAACUCAGAGCAUGUGCUGAUGAUCUGAUUUUAAUGGUUUCUAAUCAAUCAAAUGUCUCAGAAUUAUGUCUGGCCAUCAUUAUAUGGUUGCUUUGAGCAAAGAAAAACUCCAUUCCUAAAAGAGAGGAGUAUUUUGGCAUUACAUGUUUAAGGAAAUUAUAACAAGUCAGAUUUGAGAAUUUAAUUGUGAAUGGGGGAAAAAAACUUAUAGUCCUUGUCAUAUCAAAUUUACUGCGGUUUUUCUUUUUGUUUAGCUUUUUCGAGAUUUUGAAAAACUCAUUCAUUUCUCUUAACUAGUCAGAUUCCUGGGGAAAGGUUAUGUUUAAAGAACCAUUAGGGAUACAAUAAUUAAACUAGUUUCCUUCUCCAAUGUUGAAUAAUCAACAAAUUUGUAAGCAAAAUUUGAGAGUAAUCAAAUUUACAGAAUAAAUAAAAAUUUAGAUGAAAAUAAGCAAAUACUACAAACCUAAAUUUGCAGGUAGAUAAAAACAGAUAGUGGAAGAAAGAGGGUGAGUAGGGAAGGAGAAAAGAGAGAAUGAGGGCAAACUUUGAGUUAGGCAGCUUAUAUACAUAAUUUCACUUAAAUUUCACAAAUAAGGCAAAUACAUUUGUACUCAUUUUAAACCAAACAACCAAGCCUCUGAGCUAACCUGCCUAAAAGUCAAACAGCUAGAAAGUAGGGGAGCUGGAUUCCUACCACACCUGUCUGGCCAGAUGCGCAUAUCACGCCUUUGAUGAAAGGUGAAUUUCAAAUGUAAAGCAGAGGACUGCAAAUAAACAGUCUUCAGGCUGAACUGGACCAUCAGAUGUGCUUCCCUCAGGGUGUUAAAAAAACUGAGUCAGCAAUUUCACUGAAGAAUCCAGAUUCUAUCUUCUCGUUAAACACAGAGGUGGGUGCCCCCAGAAGAGGCACGCUUCCUCUGCUGUUUUUUGGGCCCCAUCAAAUCAUAGGACGUGUUCCUUUCACUGCCCAGUUGUUUUCUGCUUGGUCUUUAUAAAAAUCUGAGCUUCAAAAGUUUCUCUGUUCCAUAGGAUCAGCAAUUCUGUUUCUAGGUAUAUACCCAAAAGAACUGAAAGAAGAAACUCAAAUGGAUAAUUGUAGACCAAUGUACAUAGCAACACUUUCCAUAGCAGCCAAAAGGUAGAAACAACUCAAUGUCCACCAACAGGUAAAUGGAUAAACAAAAUGUGAUAUAUACGUAGAAUAG